CUUGGUCAUUUAGAGGAAGUAAAAGUCGUAACAAGGUUUCCGUAGGUGAACCUGCGGAAGGAUCAUUACCGAACGUUGACACGAGUUGUUGCUGGCCCCUCGAAGGGGGAGCAUGUGCACGCUCUGUCUGCAUAUCCACUCACACCUGUGCACUCUCUGUAGUUCUGUGGCCUGAGGGACCCUGUUCCUCUGCUGCAGUUCUACGUCUCUAUACACACCCUGUAGUGAAGUCUUAUGGAAUGUGUGCCGCGUUUAACGCAAUGAAAUACAACUUUCAGCAACGGAUCUCUUGGCUCUCGCAUCGAUGAAGAACGCAGCGAAAUGCGAUAAGUAAUGUGAAUUGCAGAAUUCAGUGAAUCAUCGAAUCUUUGAACGCACCUUGCGCCCCUUGGCUAUUCCGAAGGGCAUGCCUGUUUGAGUAUCAUGAACACCCUCAACCCUUGUGGUUUGCCACAAUCGGCUUGGACUUUGGAGGUCUUGCUGGCUCCGGUUGGCUCCUCUCAAAUGAAUCAGCUCACCGGUGUUUGGUGGUGUUGCAGGUGUGAUAACUAUCUACGCUUGCAGUCAUCCUCCAUGCAACCCUCAGCGAUGAGGGUUCACUGGGGCUUAUAGAUGUCUCUCCUGAGCGAAGACAGCUCUUUUGAACGUUCGAUCUCAAAUCAGUAGGACUACCCGCUGAAC
rnacentral:rRNA from 1 species